CCCUUAGAUGUUCUGGGCCGCACGCGCGCUACACUGAUGCAUUCAACAAGCUUAGCCUUGACCGAGAGGUCCGGGUAAUCUUUGAAACUGCAUCGUGAUGGGGCUAGAUUAUUGCAAUUAUUAAUCUUCAACGAGGAAUGCCUAGUAAGCGUGAUUCAUCAAAUCGCGUUGAUUACGUCCCUGCCCUUUGUACACACCGCCCGUCGCUCCUACCGAUUGAAUGUGUUGGUGAGGAGCUCGGAUUGGCAGCAGUUGGUGGUUCGCCACCGGCUAUUGCUGAGAAGUCCUCCAAACCGCCCCAUUUAGAGGAAGGAGAAGUCGUAACA
rnacentral:rRNA from 1 species